rnacentral:lncRNA from 1 species
GCUGAAGCCACUGCCCUUGAGAACCCUCUCGAGGAGUCUGGGCUCAUGAAGAUGCCAGAAUAAGUGGCAGGUAUAUCCUGAGUGAAUGUGAGAUUUUUACUCUGUGAAUUUCCUGUGAGAAGUGUAAGAAGAAAAAGAGCAAAGAUAAGAAGAGAAAAAGAGAAGAAGAUGAAGAAACCCAGCUUGAUAUGUUGGUGAGUCAGUUUUCAGUGCUUUAUUCUGAAAAAAGUUAACAUUUCUUGAGAUCUCAUUGAAAACAUUUUCCUAGUUAGAAAUUUAUGAUGUAUUCAUAUUUGUCUUAAA